rnacentral:rRNA from 1 species
UAAAAUCUUAGUGGCGGACGGGUGAGUAACGCGUGGGUAACCUGCCUUACACUGGGGGAUAACACUUAGAAAUAGGUGCUAAUACCGCAUAAGCGCACGAAGCCGCAUGGAUUUGUGCGAAAAACUCCGGUGGUGUAAGAUGGACCCGCGUCUGAUUAGCUUGUUGGCGGGGUAACGGCCCACCAAGGCGACGAUCAGUAGCCGGCCUGAGAGGGUGGACGGCCACAUUGGGACUGAGACACGGCCCAAACUCCUACGGGAGGCAGCAG